AUGAACGCUGGCGGCGUGCUUAACACAUGCAAGUCGAACGAAGCACUUUAUUUGAUUUCCUUCGGGACUGAUUAUUUUGUGACUGAGUGGCGGACGGGUGAGUAACGCGUGGGUAACCUGCCUUGUACAGGGGGAUAACAGUUGGAAACGGCUGCUAAUACCGCAUAAGCGCACAGCAUCGCAUGAUGCAGUGUGAAAAACUCCGGUGGUAUAAGAUGGACCCGCGUUGGAUUAGCUAGUUGGUGAGGUAACGGCCCACCAAGGCGACGAUCCAUAGCCGACCUGAGAGGGUGACCGGCCACAUUGGGACUGAGACACGGCCCAAACUCCUACGGGAGGCAGCAGUUGGGAAUAUUGCACAAUGGGCGAAAGCCUGAUGCAGCGACGCCGCGUGAGCGAAGAAGUAUUUCGGUAUGUAAAGCUCUAUCAGCAGGGAAGAUAAUGACGGUACCUGACUAAGAAGCACCGGCUAAAUACGUG
rnacentral:rRNA from 1 species